AGAAGAGAGUCCCCUUCAACAGCACAUACCUACCCAUUAACUAACUCUUCUCCAAAUCAACAAGCCAAGUUGCCCUUUCAAGGAUCUUUGCCUGAGACACAAAGAACCAUAGCCAGCAAGUAAAUCUAGAUGCUAAUGAGUGGAUCCAGGCUCCAGCUUCCCACGUGUGGAAGGCUGAGAUCAACACCAUCUCUUCAAUGAACCAUAACUAUUCUGAGAGAGCAUUCAGUGAGCGUUCCCAUGGACUACAUAUUUCGUCGAUUUUUUAAAUUAAAACAAAAGGCCAGCUUCAUUCUCUCCAUCUCUGAUCUCUUCUUCUUUGUUCACCUCCCAAAUGGCUGUUUACUCUGAAUUAGAAGACAAUUAGUAAACCGUAGAGGUACUGAAGGAAUAUCUGAGAGGCAGAGCAGUCACAACAACACCUGUGACAUCACCGAAGAACCUAAGACUCUUCUGGAUAAAGAGAUUUUUCAGGAAAAGCCUAAUGGUGAUGUCAAUGAGAACUGCCAUGGCCUUCCUGCAGAACAGCUUUCCUUACAUUGACAAGAUUAGAGGGUGCCCUUUCCAGGAGUGUGUCCUUUGACACAGUGGAAAAGAUUACAUACUACAUCUCAAUAAAGAAAGUGACUUCUCUUU